rnacentral:rRNA from 1 species
ACGUAGGGUGCAAGCGUUAAUCGGAAUUACUGGGCGUAAAGCGUGCGCAGGCGGUAAUGUAAGACAGAUGUGAAAUCCCCGGGCUCAACCUCGGAACUGCCUUUGAUACUGUUGGUCUCGAGUCCGGAAGAGGUGGGUGGAAUUCCUAGUGUAGAGGUGAAAUUCGUAGAUAUUAGGAAGAACACCGGUGGCGAAGGCGGCCCACUGGUCCGGUACUGACGCUGAGGUGCGAAAGCGUGGGGAGCAAACAGGA